UCGCGUCCUCGAGCGAAGUCGAUCAACAUGUCGGGUAAGGUUUAACGGAUUUUUUAAUUUGCCCUCUAAUAACUUGUGCAUCAAUAAUCAGUUUUUCAUGUUAACUACUCCUAUCUCAGGUGGUCUGGUCUACUCAGGUUUAAGUUUUAGACUUGACAUAGGAGUCGCAUUUUCUUGAAUUAUUUCAGAAUUUAACUGGCGCUAUUAUUUCAGUGGUGCCGGCAGGUGCCGCGUGUUGUGAACGUGUGCGUUUGUAUUGUGUUUCUAAGAAAAAACAGUUUUUUGCAGCUAGUGAGUCCCUUCCGAGACCACCACGUUUCCUUGGAGGCGAUCGAGAGGCGUGCCCUUUGGCUGCCUUGCUUGAUGGUCUGUUCCGGAUCAGGGGUUCUCGGAGAUGCAACAGAUUUUGGCUCCACGACGACGUGCGGUCCUGCUUCCUCUGUCUGCUUUCACGAGACGAGAUUGAUUUUGCCAGCAGUUCACAAAUAUCAGUCGCAUAGUAGAGCCAUGCAAUUAAAAAGAUAUGUAUGUAAAAGUGGUCUAAUCAAUAAAAGAGUAACAUCUUUCUUUGGUACUAGUGAAAACACUAUUCACGUCUGGUAUAGCCGGACAGAGGGAGUAUUUUUUUUAGGUUAGUUUUUUUUUUCGAAAAUAGAAGGACCUGAUCUCUGCAUCGAAUGAUGCAUAUAAUCAUUUUUAUUGUAAAGUUUCAGUAGCAUAUUUCUUUGUACAUUAGGUUAGGUUAUCUUGGCGAGAACGGCGAGGUGGUGCUAGUGUUCUCACGUCGGAAAAAGUCAUCCACGCUCUGCCCCUCGUUUCGAUGUUGCUGACUCCAGUUCCAUCAGGGAUCGACUGGAGGGUUCACUAUUCUUUGAUUUGGUGGACUGUUCAGGAGUUGUUGGCCCUCCGACGCUUCAGCUCCAUGCAGUGGUGGCGGCGGUCCUCCAGUUAAGUUUGAAAGGGGCAAUUGUGGUAUCUUCGGGUAUGCGACAAGCAGAUCUAUGUAUCUUCCUCAACCAUAGUUAUCGGCGACCUCAGAUUUGGGGAUAGAGAAGGUUGGGGAAUGUCCCCGUUCUUGUUAUUUCAGUGAAGUCUCCGAACCCGUCUUUACACGUCUGUUGUUACUACGGCUCGUAAAGUCAUUGGGUGAUGGUGUUUUUCUUAUUCCUAUGUUGUUGGAUUUGUGUUUGUUGGUGGAGGCAGUUGUGUCAUCUUGACAUACAUCUUUUUUAUACUCAUCUUUAUACGUUCUCUGUACAUUUUAAUAUAGGCAUGUACUAUACGUUAUAGAGCCGAUUUUCAAAAGUGUCAAUGGGAUAUUUAUCAAGCUUUGACACCUCGACAUGAAACUGAACGGACAAUACUAGGAACUUUUUUUGCGCAUCCAUCCAUGAGGACUUGAACCUAGGU
rnacentral:lncRNA from 1 species